UUAAAGUUGUUGCAGUUAAAAAGCUCGUAGUUGAACUUCAGGCCCGACGGGGUGGUCUGCCUCACGGUAUGUACUAUCCGGUUGGGCCUUACCUCCUGGUGAGCCCGUAUGUCGUUUACUCGGUGUGCGGGGGAACCAGGAAUUUUACUUUGAAAAAAUUAGAGUGUUCAAAGCAGGCGUAUGCCCGAAUACAUUAGCAUGGAAUAAUA
rnacentral:rRNA from 1 species